AUGAUGACCAAAAAUGUCUCCAAACAUUGCCAAGCAUCUUCUGAGGGACAGACUUGCCCCAGGAUGAAAACCACAGGUCUAUCCUCGGGCUAAAAAGGGUAGUGUCUUCUCACAUCCCCAGUACAGUGGGGAUCACCGUUCUAUAUCACGCUGCUCAGACACUGAUCACUCUUCCCUCCAGUUUCAACUUCCUAAUGAAAUCCAGCAGGCAUCUCCUCGUCAAUCCCUCUUCAACAUCAGAGACUUGAGGCUGCCUUGGCUCCUCGAGGAUUGAAGCGAAAUAUUGAAGAGGAACAAAGGCAGGAGAAAUUUUUCUUUAUCAGUGCUGAUGUAAUCUGACAUGGGUUUCCUUUGGGCAUAAUGAAAGCAAUCUUCCAAAAUACUAAGAUCACCACUGCGCUGAAGUCUCAGGAUGACCCGUAAAGUUGGGUACUGAGGCAGUACCCUGAGGAGGAGAGAAUCCUGGCACUGCCCCCUCUGGGGGUCAGAGGGACCGCUCAGUGGAGAGUGGGUGAAGAGUGCCUUCCAGCUCACAAGCCCUUUACCAAAGCGGUGGGAGCGCCUAAGGACCUUGGAUCUUAAUCUUUUAUUUCUUAGUAUCUGCAGAUAUAAUCUCUUCUAAUAUCUUUUUCUUUCUCAAACUCACAGCAUAUAUCAGAAGGCAAACUACAUGGCUGAUCCACAGGCCAGUGUGGACUGCCAAAAUGCCCCUUAACACUGACAAAGCGUUUCUUUUCGUUUUCCUUUUAUUGAAGUACAGUUA